ACUUUUCCCAUCCUUAGCCCAGAGCUGGUGUAGAUUUUAUCUGACCUUCACUGUAAGAACCGGAUGGCAUUUCCUGGAGUUGGUAUUGACAAAGCACCAAAAUGAUUUUAAAAUUGAGCUCAAGUAUCUGGAAGACGAUCUCCUUUUGCGCCUUUCUGCGGCAGAGGGAAGCUUUCUGGAUGACACCAAACUGGUAGAGAGAUUGGAGGCAACAAAGACCACCGUGGCAGAGAUAGAGCACAAGGUGAUUGAAGCCAAAGAAAAUGAAAGAAAAAUCAACGAGGCCCGAGAAUGUUACAGACCAGUGGCAGCAAGAGCAUCUCUUCUUUAUUUUGUUAUUAAUGACCUCCAAAAAAUCAACCCCCUCUACCAAUUCUCUUUGAAGGCUUUUAACGUGCUGUUCCACAGAGCGAUCGAGCAGGCUGACAAGGUGGAAGACAUGCAGGGACGCAUCUCUAUCCUGAUGGAGAGCAUCACCCAUGCUGUCUUCCUCUACACCAGCCAGGCGCUGUUUGAGAAGGACAAGCUCACCUUCCUGUCCCAG
rnacentral:lncRNA from 10 species